rnacentral:rRNA from 1 species
CCUACGGGCGGCAGCAGUGGGGCAUAUUGCACAAUGGGCGAAAGCCUGACGCAGCCAUGCCGCGUGUAUGAAGAAGGCCUUCGGGUUGUAAACUUCUUUCAGUCGGGAGGAACGUGUCCAGUGUAAUAAACUAAUCAAUUGACGUUACCGGCAGAGGAAGCACCGGCUAACUCCGUGCCAGCAGCCGCGGUAAUACGGAGGGUGCGAGCGUUAAUCGGAAUUACUGGGCGUAAAGCGCUCGUAGGCGGUAGGUAGAGUCAGGGGUGAAAUCCCCGGGCUUAACGUGGGAACUGCAUCUGAUACUGGUCAGCUGGAGUGUGGGAGAGGGGAGUAGAAUUCCAGGUGUAGGGGUGAAAUGCGUAGAUAUGUGGAGGAAUACCGGUGGCGAAGGCGGCUACCUGGCACAAGACUGACGCUGAGGUGCGAAAGCGUGGGGAGCAAACAGGAUUAGAUACCCGAGUAGUC